AAAAGGUACUCAAGGGCACAUAAGUGGAUGCCUAGACGUGUAUGACCGAUGAAGGACGUGGAAGACUGCGAAAAGUCUUGGGGAGCUGUCUAGCAAGCUUUGAUCCAGGAAUAUCCGAAUGGGGAAACCCGGCACGAGUUAUGUCGUGUCACCUUAUCCUGAAUAAAAUAGGGAUUUUGGCGGGAACCAACUGAACUGAAACAUCUUAGUAGGUUGAGGAAGAGAAAAUAAAUAAUGAUUCCGGGAGUAGUGGCGAGCGAAACUGGAUCAGCCCAAACCUUUUAAGUUUCCAGAUUUAUCUGGAUAAGCUGUUAGGCGAAUACUUAGAUGGGGUUGUGAUAUGACAUGAGACCAUGUCAGAGAACUGAAGGCAACUUCAGUCAUCUGAUAUGCGACUGGCGACUAACAUCGACCAGAUAAGGUAAAAAAUUAGAGUUGUUAGCAGAAUUGUUUGAAUGACAAGCCAAAGGACGUGAAAGCCGCGUACGCGAAAACAACUUUGACCUUAUACAUGUUUUAUCGAGUAGGACGGGGCACGAGAAACCCUGUUUGAAUCCGGCAGGACCACCUGCCAAGGCUAAAUAUCAUACACGAUCGAUAGUGAACUAGUGCAGUGAUGGAAAGGUGAAAAGAACCCCGGGAGGGGAGUGAAAUAGAUCCUGAAACUUAGUGCCUACAAGGAGUCGGAGCCCUACGGGGUGACGGCGUGCUUUUUGUAGAACGAUCCAGCGAGUUAAUUUCAUACGCAAGGUUAAGACAAUUGUCGGAGCCGUAGUGAAAGCGAGCCUGAAUAGGGCGAUAUAGUGUAUGGGAUUAGACCCGAAACCGGGUGACCUAACCAUGAGCAGGUUGAAGCUACUGUAAUAGGUAGUGAAGGACCGAACCGUCGUACGCAGCAAAGUGCUCGGAUGACUUGUGGUUAGAGGUGAAAUGCCAAUCGAACUCGGAGAUAGCUGGUUCUCCUCGAAAUAGCUUUAGGGCUAGCGUCAAUUCAUUAGCCAAUGGGGGUAGAGCUCUGUAAAGGACUGGGGGGUGCAAACCUACCCACCCUUAACAAACUACGAAUACCAUUGGUGGUACAUUGGCAGUUAGAACGUCGGGGCUAAGCUCGGCGCUCGAAAGGGAAACAGCCCAGACCAUCGUCUAAGGUCCCUAAAUAUAUACUCAGUGGGAAACAAGGUGAGAUUUCUUAAACAGCUAGGAUGUUGGCUUAGAAGCAGCCAUUCAUUUAAAGAGUGCGUAACAGCUCACUAGUCAAGAGAUCUUGCGUGGAAAAUGUAACGGGGCUUAAGUAUAUUACCGAAGACAUGGAUGUAUGUAACCUGCGGGUUACAUGCGUGGUAGAGGAGCGUUCCUCUCUGCAGUGAAGCUGAACCGUAAGGUUUGGUGGAGCGUGAGGAAGUGAGAAUGCUGGAAUGAGUAACCAUAAGACGGGUGAGAAUCCCGUCGGCCGUAAGAGCAAGGUUUCCUGAGCCAUGGUAAUCAUCUCAGGGUUAGUCGGGCCUAAGCCGAGGCGCAUAGCGUAGGCGAUGGACAUCAGGUUAAUAUUCCUGAACCGGUUAUAAUUUGUACACUGUUCACGGUGAAGUAGUCGAAGCGGAUUCAUGGUAUGUAUCCGUCCAACUCAGCAGGAAUGCAAGAGGAGUGAAAGUUACCCUUCGGGGUGACGAUUUUGAUCAAAGCACUGGCAAGAAAAGCAGAUGUACGCGUGAUUAUAUCCGCCCGUACCGCAAACCAACACAGGUGCUCAAAGUCGAGUAGACUCAGGCUUACGAGAGAACCUUUGCUAAGGAACUCGGCAAUAUAGCGACCGUAACUUCGGGAUAAGGUCUGCCCCCACAUCAAAAUGAUGUGAGCCGUGUUCAAAGUAUCAGUAGAUAUAUUAGUAAUAGGUGGUUAAAAAACGUACACUUCCCAGGCUUUUAAGGCUCCCAAGCCUUAAAAAACAGGAUUUUGUAUAAGUGAGUACGCUUGCAUCAGACGAUUACGUUAGCAAUACGAAAGUACUGCUGGCGUCAUACGAGAUGUACAGUGAACAAAUCCUUUUAUGACCAUCAAAAUUUUUUACUGAGAUAGACAAUAUGAUAUUGUUAUUCUCCCAAAAAUUGGCUAAAUUUAUCUACCAAUGCUAGGGAGAGUGACAUCACAUUGCUUUUUUGAGCACGAUCUCUCGCAUCUUUUGAUGUGGGGGCCGCAGCAAAAGAGCCCACGGAACUGUUUACCAAAAACACAGGUCUCUGCGAACACGAAAGUGGAUGUAUAGGGGCUGACUCCUGCCCAGUGCUGGAAGGUUAAGGUGAAGGCUUUACGGUCUGAACUGAAGCCCCAGUGAACGGCGGCGGUAACUAUAACCGUCCUAAGGUAGCGAAAUUCCUUGUCAGGUAAACGAACUUGCCUGCAUAACGAGCAAUCGGUAUGAACGUUAAGGAAGAUAAACAGAAUUCAAAUUGUGCGGAACGUAACAUGGCUAUAUGCUGGAAACUCUCUUAAAUUCCGACGA
rnacentral:rRNA from 1 species